rnacentral:rRNA from 1 species
AUUGAACGCUGGCGGCAUGCUUUACACAUGCAAGUCGAACGGCAGCGCGGGCUUCGGCCUGGCGGCGAGUGGCGAACGGGUGAGUAAUGCAUCGGAACGUGCCCAGUAGUGGGGGAUAGCCCGGCGAAAGCCGGAUUAAUACCGCAUACGACCUGAGGGUGAAAGCGGGGGACCGACAGGCCUCGCGCUAUUGGAGCGGCCGAUGUCGGAUUAGCUAGUUGGUGGGGUAAAGGCUUACCAAGGCGACGAUCCGUAGCUGGUCUGAGAGGACGACCAGCCACACUGGGACUGAGACACGGCCCAGACUCCUACGGGAGGCAGCAGUGGGGAAUUUUGGACAAUGGGGGCAACCCUGAUCCAGCCAUGCCGCGUGCGGGAAGAAGGCCUUCGGGUUGUAAACCGCUUUUGUUCGGGAAGAAAUCCUCUGGGCUAAUACCCCGGGGGGAUGACGGUACCGGAAGAAUAAGCACCGGCUAACUACGUG